rnacentral:tRNA from 2 species
GGGCGCUUAGUUUAAUUGGGAAAAUACCUGACUUGCAAUCAGGAGUUCUGGGUUCGACUCCCAGUUUGUCCACCA